CGAAUGAUGAAGCUCCCACAACAAUGGAGAAUGAGCGUGUACUGAAGGUGAGGAUUGAGUGCAGAAGCUUCUGGGAAUCAGGGAAAAAUCGUUCGAACCCAAUGAUUGGCAAUGAUUGCAGCUUAUAUAGCACAAUCCCAAGGGUAAAUUGGAGAAUUAGGUAUGAAUCAUCCAGCUGGCACCUGAGUGAACGAGAAGGUUUUCUUGGUUUUGAUCUCUUGGCUUUUCACGUGCCGUCUUGUUUUUUCAAUUUUCUUUUGGCUUGGUGCUGCUGCGUGCCGCUCAUGUUUCAGCUUUUGGUAGUUGAGUUUGGACUGCAGUCGUACAGUUGCCGUUGGAUUGUGAAGUUUGUUGCAUUUCGGUAUUUCGCAGCUUGCACCUUGAACGUGUUGAUGUUGCUUUAGUAUGAGCUGUGUUUUGGACAGAGUUUGGCAAAUGUUCUGCAGGCUCGUCAUGUAUGAUGUAGCAGUAUUAAUGUGGACUUGUGCAAUGGUUUUGUUGUACUGUGAGUUAUCCAAUACUCUGACUUAAUUUUCCUUGCAGUUACAACUUCAAUAUGCUAAACCAGGUCAGUCCAGAAUUCACUCUUGAGCUGAUUAUACCUUGCCCUGUUUUCUGUGUAAUGGUGGAAACCCUGUUAACUGAACUUGAUGAUGGAUACAAUAAGUAAUCUACUGCAAGACUGCCCUUUCUGGCUUGAUCAUUGAUGUUGGAUUGCAGGAUGUUAUUGGCUCGGUUUUUUGCAUUAACUGCCUGACAUGCUAUGAUGAGAGCCCUUUGUGGCAUGUGAAUGUUGUUGUUUGAUGUUGUGUUUGUCUGUUGUAAAUGCAGGUUGGCAUUCCAUGAUAGAAACACAUACUCACUCAAGGUCUGAUUUGUUAGAAUGAAUUGCAACAAAGUGUUGCAAAAUUCUGCAAUACUUCAUGACAGGCUGGAUAAUGGUAUGAUGAUAACUCGUUCAACAAAGUGACCACUGUUGGAUUCAACUGUAAGUGAGAUCCCCGUCCUGGCUUGGAUUCUGCAGCAUUGAAUUGCUAGGUCUGUGGAAUAUUAUAACUGGAUUUAAGUGUCAACGGGCUACACUUGGUCUUUAACAGGGAGCUUUGUCUAUUGCAGCGUAUGGCUAGGGGGAUGAGGAAACCGGCCAUCACGAAGUGCAUUGCCAACGGAAUCAACAAAUAGACUUGCAGGUCUGCCCUCAAGAUCAUAUAUACUUGACUUGUUAAUAAGACCACCAGAGACAAAUUGGAAGCUCCGGUACGGAAAGGUGGUUCACGAACCUGGUUAUAUGGUCCUGUUGGGAGAUUCAUGAGGCUGAGGUUGAAAGUUGCGGCCUGGAAUAUUAAACUGAACAUCAGAGCCGGCUGGUUGCUUAAGCAUGGUUGGCUGAAAAUUAUCCAUGGAGUUUAAGGCCUGUCCCGAAUGAAGUGCAGGUGCAGCUCCAUGAUUCCUGAGAAGCGCUGAAGAGUUUGCUGCAGAAAGAGGCUGAUUUGGACCUGUUGGAUGUUGCCUCUUAUCAUGACCUGAAUUGGAUUUUUUUAAUUGCAGGUCCCAUCUCUACUUGACAGUGUGCCAACUGGUUUAUGCGCAGGCUGCUGCAGGAUGAUGGCAUGAUGGUGACAUUGAGUCUCAAACCAAACUCACGAGCAUCCUUUCCUUCAACUGGCCAAUGUAAGUGUAGUAUCAAAUCAUGUGACUGUGAAGCUUGGUUUUGGUGCACGCAAGUCCCUGUUAGCAGUGCAGCAUCAUGGUUGGCAAAAAUCACAAGACCAAGUCAUGGCAAGGUACACAUGGAGUUGAAAAUGAGACAAGCUACUUGGACAUGAAGAUACAAAGUCAAACCCAUCAAAAACGACUCUUGGAUGAUAAAUCACGGGAAAAGAGCUAGAUUAGGCCCUAGAUGGUUAAAAAUGGAUGAGUUGACUUUGGUCAAAGUUGACCAAAAAGUCAACCGUUGACCAAAGUCAACAAUUGGUUAAAGCUUAUUAUUUUUUUUUGUA